rnacentral:lncRNA from 1 species
GAUUAAAAUGGGUGGGCAAACACAAUACGAAACGCUCUUGUGCCCACUUACAAGUUUUUUACCAAACAAUGACUGCCAUAUGUUGUUUAUGUAACUACCAGAUUAGCUGAGGGACAUUACCAGGCCGUCUGUUAGGAUUUGCCAUAUUGUUGUAACUACCAGACUGUAGAAGAUAACUACUAAUCAGGUUGUCCAGGUGAUAUUACCUGCUUGUUCCUUAGCAGUCACCAUGUUUUUUGUAACCACCAGAUUGUCUAGGCGAUAUAACCAGGUUCAAGGCUGUCUAACUAGCUAUU